CUCAGUGCACCCUAUCAUGCCCAAGAGCAGGGGUGACCAACCCACAGCUCUGGAGCUACAUGCGGCUCGUCAGAGGUUAAUAUGCAUCUCCUUGAAUCUUUGCACAAGCACACAGUGCCCAGCUUCCAUAGCCAGUACGUCACAUCAUGUCACAUCAUGUGACUGCUCACAGCCAGUACAUUACUCAGUUUGGACUCGGAAGUUUGGCCUCUGGAGCCGCAGGUUGGUCACCCCUGUCCUAGAGCAACCUGGCACUCCUCCCUGUGCCCUUUGGAGAGAUGAGUAACAGCCUCAAGCUGCAGCAGGUGGAAUUGAGGCUGCAGAUGAAGAGGCAUGUUCUCACUUUGAAGGCGGUCAAGCAUUGGAGCAGACGCUCUAGAGAGGCUGUGGAGUCUCCAUGCUUGGAAACUUUCAGAAGCAAGUUAGACAGACACUUGGCUAGUCAGAGAUGAUCCUUCCUUGAGCAGGGAGGCUGGACUAGAAGACUGAUGAUCUCUCCAUUUUGCCUCUUUUUCCUCAGAAACAGGCUUUUAUGGUGAUCCACCACUUGGUCUCCUGGAGUUGUUACUUCCCUUAGCCAGGACACAGAAAACCUGAUUGCAGCACACUGGGACUGUGAUGACACGGCCAAGGCUGCCAUCAGGGAGCAUGGUUGGCAAGUGGAGUUUCAGAAGCUGUGUAUGAGUUAAAAGAAAUAAAUGCAUUAUGAUACAGUCCUGGAAGUGGGUAAUCGAAUGGUUGAUAUACGAGGGAAAUCUUGGGGGUCCAGGGGAAAAGAACAGAGAGAGAGUUUUGCGCAGUGUAGACUGGAUCAUCUAUUUGUCUCUUGUCCUGACCAAGAGGAAAGAACUGGUGGAGGAUGCAAAGGUGACAAUGCUUUCACAAAGCCAAGUCCUGUCUUCCAGUUGCCUGUUCUGAUCUUCAGGCUUCACUUCUCCUGGGACAUGGAAGGGAAGCAGGGAAACUACUUUAAAAGAUGUGAAACCUCAAAGCAGACUACAGGGAUUGAAGAUGUUGGCAGUCCAUCCCAUGUGGGCUUUAACCUUACUCCUACACUAGACAGCUCCCUCCCAACUUGACGAAGAGGAACUUCCCAGCCCUCGUUCCUGUGCACCUUUUUGUUGAAAGCUGUGAAUAUCUGCUUUUAUGUGGAGUCCCAGUUUAAUAAACUCUGUCAUAGGAAAGACACUGACUGUGCUUAAUGAAGGGAUCGGUUCAAUUAUGACUUGGACAUUGUACAUUUGAAUGGGAAUCCAGGAGCAUCCCUGGAGGUAACAUUUCUUUGCUGUGGACUUGCCCUUUCAGAACUACCUUAGCAAUGGAGCUGAGAGUCAAAGCAGCAGGUGACUACUGGAAGCUGGACCAACAGAAGCCCAGAGGGAAAGGGAUGGAUAUGGACUCUCCUUCCUUAAAAAAAGUGUAUCAUGCCAAUUUUCUGCAGAAAAAAUCCUUCUCUUUUUGUGAAAGAGUUUACCCAGGCAUAGGCAGUCAAUUUAAGUGGUUCAACACUAUCAGGUGUUUACUGGAGUGGAAGCCAAGGUCAAAGCCAGAUUUUUGUUCAAGAUGCAGAUUGUCAAGCCAAGGCUGGGGUUAGGGUAAGCAACUGAUCAAGGGCAGGGGGUCUGCAAUCAGGAGCAAGCAUGCAAAUAUGAGGCAGGGACACUCAGCAAUGCUACUUGGAUGAGGCCUUGCUCCUAGUGGGAGGGUUUUAUAAUCCUCACAUCAGAGACUUGUGAUUUCCAUGGGUCCACCUAGGUCACCUGAUCUCCCAUUAGGAACCCCAUGGGAGGGUCCAGGUUGAGCUUGGAGCUGGCAUUUGGCAAGCUGCCUGUCAGUGCUGCAGUCUAUACUUCUACCCAUGGCCAGAGAAGACCUGGGUCAGGUGUCCUGACAUUUUGCUCCAUUCUGGCCCAGAGUUGCAAGGUCCAACCCAUCUGAAGGAGCACAAGCCUGUAUCUGAAUAGGUGACACACACUACUAGAGCAAGCAGUGAUAGAAGUUAGAAUUUAGGGAUACUCCCUUACUGAGACACUGGGGGUUGGGAGACGAUCCCUCAGGGAGCAGCUAGCCUGUCAGAGAGAGAAACAGACAAAGGAUCUGCAGACGUUGUGUACUGCUCCACAAAUUAAAGCGUGUUGUUCUUCUCAUUCAUGUGCAUCUGUGCUUAUUGAACCUGCUGAUCACUACAGGGUGAGUACA